CUUGCCUUGCUCUACUUUCUGCGGUUUCAGCCGGUACCAUUUGUAUUCCCUCCGGGUGCUGAGGAAGUAUCGCGCUGUUCGUCUGCCCUGCUUUAAAUAUCUUCAUAAAGAUCAGCCAUCGCAUAAGCAAUGCGGAAUAAAAUUAUCUUGAAAACCAUGCUGCCUGCAAGCUUUGAUGGGGCGGUUUGAGAUCUUGUUUUCAGCCAAAACAAAAGCCCAGACUAUACCAAAAUAAAGCACGUUAUUUUUAUUUUUUUUAAAAAAGGAACAGAUACUAAUUUUUUGGACAUGUUUAUAUUAUCCAUAAUACUCCCACAAGUACAUGCCUCCCAUUGCAUUCUGUGAUCUUCCCAUGUAGGCAACACUGAAGACACAAGAAGUUCUACCAUAAAGCAAGUUUAUUGGGUUAGCCUAAGACACAAUAACUACACAAACAGAAUAAUGGCCAGGCUUUUCCCUGAAGAGUUUUUACUCUAAAUAGACGCAGGUCAGGGAGAAAGGGCAUAACAUCCGUUCAAAAUGAACAAUGCUGAGAGGGAAAUGGCAAGUUCUACAGUUUCAGUUAUUAAUUUCAUAUGCACUCCUCACCAGAACCAUGGCACAUCAGUAACCUUCCUGCCAUGUCAUCCACUACAAUCUACUUGGGAACAUCUUGUUUUUUACCAAGAAUGGCUGUCUUCUUGUCACUGAAGGGCUUUGCAUAGCCUAAUUUUUCAGGGUUUCACCUGGAAAACUUAGCAGUUCUCCUACUGGAAGUCUGGACAACUGUGGCAAUAGGCUUGCUUACCUCCAAGGCUGCUUCAGAUUCCCUAUCUGCAUCUGCUGCUACGCAUGGCAAAUCACUGAAUUAGCCAGCUUCUUUUAUGCCUUUGUUAAGGGAGAGCUUGGAACAUUAAGUUUUAUGUUUAGAGACAAUAAAGCUACAUAUUCGCAUCGGA